UACGUAGGGACCAAGCGUUGUCCGGAAUCAUUGGGCGUAAAGAGCGUGUAGGCGGCUUGUUAAGUCUUGCGUGAAAUCUCGGGGCUCAACCCCGAGCGGUCGUGAGAAACUGGCAGGCUAGAGUGCGGGAGAGGAGAGUGGAAUUCCUGGUGUAGCGGUGAAAUGCGCAGAUAUCAGGAGGAACACCAAUGGCGAAGGCAGCUCGCUGGGACGUGACUGACGCUGAGACGCGAAAGCGUGGGGAGCAAACAGG
rnacentral:rRNA from 1 species